UUAACUUAUUAUAAAUAUUACUCAGACAACACAAAAAUCACGAGUUUAAGGAUCCUCUGGCAGACGCGGACCAGCCUGAGCCAGUGGUCAAGAGACGGGCCUGCCAAAGCAACAAAGGUAAUGUAAACAAAGGGUGGGAGAUCUACCCCGAAGGGCAAUUUCUCUGUAAUGAUCCUUCCGCAGGUUCACCUACGGAACGCAUGGUCUGCAACCUUUUCGGAGGUAGGCCGGUCAUAUCUGAAUCCAAGAUUGGUUGAAAUUCUUGGACCACCUUCGUUUGAUCUGUGGACUGCUGUAUGCAGCUGCAUGUUACCCUAACGAUAUCCAAGCACAGUGAAGAUGUUGCCUACAGAGGUAGACUGCUAUCCAAGGCUUCUGCAGGUGUUGUUCCUUGAGAAA
rnacentral:misc_RNA from 1 species